rnacentral:rRNA from 1 species
UCGGGGAUCUUGCACAAUGGGCGAAAGCCUGAUGCAGCAACGCCGUGUGAGCGAGGAAGGCCUUAGGGUCGUAAAGCUCUGUUGUUGGGGACGAAGGGCGAAGGGUUAAUAGCCCCUAGCCUGACGGUACCCUUCGAGGAAGCCCCGGCUAACUUCGUGCCAGCAGCCGCGGUAAUACGAAGGGGGCUAGCGUUGUUCGGAAUUACUGGGCGUAAAGCGCGCGUAGGCGGGUCAUUAAGUCAGGGGUGAAAUCCCGGGGCUCAACUUCGGAAUUGCCUCUGAUACUGGUGGCCUUGAGUCCGUGAGAGGUGAGUGGAACUCCGAGUGUAGAGGUGAAAUUCGUAGAUAUUCGGAAGAACACCAGUGGCGAAGGCGGCUCACUGGCACGGUACUGACGCUGAGGUGCGAAAGCGUGGGAGCAAACAGGAUUAGAUACCCGCGUAGUCC